UAUAUACAUCACAUAUGUAUGAAAACAGUUCUUACUCUUAGCUACUUUGAUCGGUCUCCCCUUCUUUCCACUACAAGUCGAUCAAUUUCUGAUGGCUGAAGCACUCAUUUCCGUUCUCCUAGAACAAUUGGCUUCAAUCACCCGUCAACAGGUACAACUACAAGUGAAAUUGGUAGUUGAUGUUAAGAAAGAAGUUGAAAAUCUCUGCCACAAUUUCCAAGCUAUAGAAGCCGUGCUCAAAGAUGCAGAGGAGAGGCAAGUGAAGGAGGCUUCUGUUAAAUUAUGGCUGGAUGAUUUAAAGGAUGUGUCCAACGAGAUGGAGGACGUGAUGGAUGAUUGGAACACUGAAAUUCUGAGGCUACAAAUUGAGAAACAAGAGAAAGCAGCGGGAAAUGCUCUUGAAACGACUAAGAAGAAGGUUUUUCACCGGAUGAUGCAUUUCCAUUAGGAGCUCCGUGUGUAUGGAUCAAGCUUGCAAGAUCGAUCAAUCUCUGCCGUCUGAUCAAGCUCCAGAUUUGUUGUGCACCGCUGAUCUUCAAACCUUGAUUUUUCACUCCACACACAAAAUCGUCCUUCAAGGCGGGUAUGGGCGUGAUCUAGAGGAGGAGGAGAUUCCAGAACUGGGAAGGAUCGGUCGAGGAGUCGCUAGAAAUGGAAAAUCUAACCCGGUUAAUCCGUUGCCAUUGUUUCGGCUUUCGAUCUCUGUUUGAGGCGCUCUACCGGUGAAACUACUGCCAGGGAUCGACGGAGGAGGGUUGGACAAGUCGAUCUGGGCCGGGUUCGCAGUUGUACGGCGCCUAAAAAUGGCGAUGGGUCAGGGAUGGGUCGGCUGGACUUUGUCGGGUCUGAGGAGAGAGAACAUAGAGAAGUUGGGAGAGGAAAAUGGAAAAACAGGAAAUUCUGGGAUUUAUGAAAAAAAUUCUGAAUUUUUCCUAUUUAUAGAAUUUUCCCCAAUCUUCAAUUGCAAAUAACUUUCUCACACAAACUCCGAUUGACGCGUACCGCAUGUCCACGAACUUGUAUUGACGCGCUCUACGACUUUUGUGAAAGAAGUUUUUGGAGAAUCCCAACGUAUAAAAAGUCAACAUUUUGAACAAACAAUUAUUCCACUGAAUCGAA